UGCGGCCGGAGACGUUCUUGCAAAUCCCAGCGUGCGUCCUCCAAACUGAAACGUCUCCUCAGUUCAGUUCCAACCCACUUCGACGCAACGAUUGUUCAAAGAGUUUAAAAGAUUCCGAGGAGCGAAAUAAGUCUGCUGUGGCUGCUUCCAAAGACGGGAGGUCGCCUCAACUGGUUCUUGUCCCCUUUACCUCCCCGCCGGUCGCUCGCCUCUUUGGUGUCUUUAGCACAACGCGGACGGAGCCACCCGCUAACAGAGACGUUCACAAGCGAAGAUGGCAACAUACAAGAAGUCGGGGGCUCGUGUUGCAUUGUGGGAAGCAAAGUUCAGUUGUAAAAUAGAAAUGAGAAUAAGGGGUGGGAAAUAUCUCAGCCCAGGACAGUCAAGAUAUGCAACAUGUAUAGUUUAAGGUGCUAUAAAAAAAAACGCCAUCUCGUCAUUUUGAGGAAAAAAGGUUGAAGCUGCUACGCAUGCGUUGAACGGGCGACUCCGCCAUCUUGGCGUCAAUUUCCAGCCACUCUUCGUCUUCUUUGAGCAUCUUCGGUCGCUUCUGCAAGCAAAUUCCCGGAUCAGCGUUAUGGCGUCCAUCGCAGCAUCUGCUGUGCGGAAAAGAGGGAAGGAUGGAUGCUGGGGGCUGUCAAAAAAUGUGAAUGGAAACUGCGGGCCGUCUUUUCGGCUGCUGGUGGCGUGGUACAGAACGGGUGUUGGGAAGUGGGGGGGGUUCUUUUCCUUUGUUAAACUAGCAUACGACAAUUUGGAGGAUUCAAACUUAAUGAAUCUGUUGUAUUGCACUCACACAUAGUGAUGAUUUUUAGAGCAAUACUACACUUGAAUAGACUGUAUUGUACCGUACUGUUGUACUGUACUGUAGUGUAUUAGAAGGCGGCCUCAAGAAAUAUUUGCUGAUCAUUUUGAACCCAAAAUGGAGAUCAACAUAUGACCUUUUAUUUUGCGUUAAUCUGACUGAUUUGCCACAUCGCAUGCUUUUGAAGUGAGGCGCUUAUCACAGCUCAAAGUACAUCGAUUAAUGAUUAACAGACAACAUUGGCUCGAGUGAACUCCUUGGGGGUGGAAUGAGAUCAGGAAUGAGGCCUUGUGUUUGUGAACGUGCAGAGGUCCAAAAUGCGCUCUGAUACUUGGCAAAAUUCUGCCUUUCCUACUUUGGACUGACAAGCGGCAAAGAAUGGGGCCUGCUACUGUAUAUGCAAUAUUAUACACAUAUACCGAAAAACUUAGCAUGCAAGAUUUGUGUAUUUAAUUAUAUUUAGAUAAUGGUCAAGUGUAACUGAAAGCAGACAUUGUCCGUGUGGUUGUUAAGGAGAAAAAGCGCUGAGAAAAUGGAUGACAUUCCACCAUGAGAUCACAACUACUGAUACUGCGUUUGGAAACAUUUGUUGUGUCAAAGUACAAAAAUGCAAAUGUGCCUGUUCAUGGACUGUGUUACAUAACGUUUUACAGGAUAGAUCAGGUCAGGAAAUAAUUUGCCAUGUUGCCAUGCGAGCGGCACAAUGGAUGACUGGGUUGCACGUCUGUCUCGCGGUUCUAAGAUUGUGGGUUGACGUCUGGCCUCUUCAGAGGUUUUGACUGCAGACCAGCCAGUUCACACACUAAAAGCACUCACUUGCAUGUACUACCAACUAAGCACUCCUGCUGUAUUACUCAAAGUAGUCUGCACACCUCUCCUCUGAUCAAAUACCAAUAAUUCCCAAACCUUUUUCACGAUUAUUGUGAGCUCUUAGCUCUAUAACUCAAUUGGGGAAAAAAAUAAUUGUUUUUAAGAGGUGAAGUAAAAAUGGACAUGUGUACAACCCUGUUGUCAUUAUCAUAUUGCAGUAUCAAAACUAUAAUCAGGUUACCUCUUAUAAUUGGGAAUGUUCAGAAUUUACCAUUCACAUUCAAACUCAUGUUAAAUGAGAGUCAGCGUACACCAGCCAUCAACCUGGAAUCAGUUUCAGAUGUUGUAGUCGGCUUUUCCUGACAUUUUUGUAGUCCCAUUUCACAGCACACACCAUGCCGCCAAUCCCAACAAUUUACUAAUAACCUACAGUCAUCUGUAAUUGUUAACUGGAGACCGAAAACUAACAAGUCACAUAUAAACUGUCACUACAAAGGGACAGUAUUGCAUGAUCAAUGUGUUUUUUGCGCCUCUAAUUUGGUACACAA